CCUACGGGUGGCUGCAGUGGGGAAUAUUGGACAAUGGGCGAAAGCCUGAUCCAGCCAUGCCGCGUGUGUGAAGAAGGCCUUCGGGUUGUAAAGCACUUUCAGUGGGGAAGAAAGCCUUGGGGCUAAUACCCUCGAGGAAGGACAUCACCCACAGAAUAAGCACCGGCUAACUCCGUGCCAGCAGCCGCGGUAAUCCGGAGGGUGCGAGCGUUAAUCGGAAUUACUGGGCGUAAAGCGCGCGUAGGCGGUCUGAUAAGCCGGUUGUGAAAGCCCCGGGCUCAACCUGGGAACGGCAUCCGGAACUGUCAGGCUAGAGUGCAGGAGAGGAAGGUAGAAUUCCCGGUGUAGCGGUGAAAUGCGUAGAGAUCGGGAGGAAUACCAGUGGCGAAGGCGGCCUUCUGGACUGACACUGACGCUGAGGUGCGAAAGCGUGGGUAGCAAACAGGAUUAGAUACCCUGGUAGUC
rnacentral:rRNA from 1 species